GUAAAAAUGCAGACUGUGGUGCUUUUAUUCCUGAUGGGAUGCAUGUAUCAGGACAUCUGCGCGUUCACCACAAGUAGUAUCAUUGUCACUAAUCAUACUGCUGUAAACAGUCCUACCAUCACCACAACAGUGACAGCACAUGAAACAACACCAAUGAUG